rnacentral:misc_RNA from 1 species
GAUGAAGAACGCAGCUAAAUGCGAUAAGUAAUGUGAAUUGCAGAAUUCAGUGAAUCAUCGAAUCUUUGAACGCAUCUUGCGCUCCUUGGUAUUCCUUGGAGCAUGCCUGUUUGAGUAUCAUGAGCAAAUCUCAAAGUCAAUUCCUUUUGUUGAUUCAAUUGGUUUUGCUUUGGACUUGGAGGCCUUGCAGAUUUCACAGUCUGCUCCUCUUAAAUGCAUUAGCUGGAUCUCAGUAAUUAUGCUUGGUUCCACUCGGCGUGAUAAGUAUCACUCGCUGAGGACACUGUUAAAAAGGUGGCCAGGAAAAUACUGAUUGAACCGCUUCUAACGGUCUAUUAAGUUAGACAAUUACCCUUAAGUUUGAUCUCAAAUCAGGUAGGACUACCCGCUGAACUUAAGCAUAUCAAUAAGCGGAGGA